CCUACGGGGGGCAGCAGUGGGGAAUAUUGGACAAUGGGCGAAAGCCUGAUCCAGCCAUGCCGCGUGUGUGAAGAAGGCCUUCGGGUUGUAAAGCACUUUCAGUGGGGAAGAAAGCCUUGGGGCUAAUACCCUCGAGGAAGGACAUCACCCACAGAAGAAGCACCGGCUAACUCCGUGCCAGCAGCCGCGGUAAUACGGAGGGUGCGAGCGUUAAUCGGAAUUACUGGGCGUAAAGCGCGCGCAGGCGGUCUGAUAAGCCGGUUGUGAAAGCCCCGGGCUCAACCUGGGAACGGCAUCCGGAACUGUCAGGCUAGAGUGCAGGAGAGGAAGGUAGAAUUCCCGGUGUAGCGGUGAAAUGCGUAGAGAUCGGGAGGAAUACCAGUGGCGAAGGCGGCCUUCUGGACUGACACUGACGCUGAGGUGCGAAAGCGUGGGUAGCAAACAGGAUUAGAUACCCCUGUAGUC
rnacentral:rRNA from 1 species